rnacentral:rRNA from 1 species
CCAGGGCAACNAUGGGUAGCCCNCCUNGAAGGGUUUUCGCCCACACUGGGANUGGGACCCGGCCCAGAUUCCUACGGGAGGCAGCAGUAGGGAAUCUUCCGCAAUGGACGCAAGUCUGACGGAGCAAUGCCGCGUGAGUGAUGAAGGUCCUUGGAUCGUAAAGNUCUGUUGUCAGGGAAGAACAAGUGCCGUUCGAACAGGGCGGUACCUUGACGGUACCUGACCAGAAAGCCCCGGCUAACUACGUGCCAGCAGCCGCGGUAAUACGUAGGGGGCAAGCGUUGUCCGGAAUUAUUGGGCGUAAAGGGCACGCAGGCGGUUUCUUAAGUCUGAUGUGAAAUCUUGCGGCUCAACCGCAAGCUGCCAUUGGAAACUGGGAGACUUGAGUACAGAAGAGGAGAGUGGAAUUCCACGUGUAGCGGUGAAAUGCGUAGAGAUGUGGAGGAACACCAGUGGCGAAGGCGACUCUCUGGUCUGUAACUGACGCUGAGGUGCGAAAGCGUGGGUAGCAAACAGGAUUAGAUACCCUGGUAGUCCACGCCGUAAACGUUGAGUGCUAGGUGUCAGGGGGUUUCCGCCCCUUGGUGCUGAAGUUAACGCAUUAAGCACUCCGCCUGGGGAUUACGGCCGCAAGGCUGAAACUCAAAAGAAUUGACGGGGGCCCGCACAAGCGGUGGAGCAUGUGGUUUAAUUCGACGCAACGCGAAGAACCUUACCAGGUCUUGACAUCCUCUGCCAGCGCUGGAGACAGCGUGUUCCCUUCGGGGACAGAGUGACAGGUGGUGCAUGGUUGUCGUCAGCUCGUGUCGUGAGAUGUUGGGUUAAGUCCCGCAACGAGCGCAACCCCUGAUCUUAGUUGCCAGCAUUGAGUUGGGCACUCUAAGGUGACUGCCGGUGACAAACCGGAGGAAGGUGGGGAUGACGUCAAAUCAUCAUGCCCCUUAUGACCUGGGCUACACACGUGCUACAAUGGAUGGAACAAAGGGCGGCGAAGCCGCGAGGUGAAGCCAAUCCCAUAAAACCAUUCCCAGUUCGGAUUGUAGGCUGCAACUCGCCUGCAUGAAGCAGGAAUCGCUAGUAAUCGUGGAUCAGAAUGCCACGGUGAAUACGUUCCCGGGCCUUGUACACACCGCCCGUCACACCACGAGAGUUGGCAACACCCGAAGUCGGUGGGGUAACC